GUUGUCCUUAUCAAUGGGGAAGCGUUACAAUUCAAGGAACGAUAAGUGAGGGUUGUACUGCUAACACCAUUUGUGAUUUAUCACACCCAAGCAUCACUGCUUCAUUAGAAGCUGAUGGUGCAAUUUCUGUACAG
rnacentral:ncRNA from 10 species